GGCUGUCACUUAUAGAUGGGCCCGCGGCGCAUUAGCUAGUUGGUGAGGUAAUGGCUCACCAAGGCGACGAUGCGUAGCCGACCUGAGAGGGUGAUCGGCCACACUGGGACUGAGACACGGCCCAGACUCCUACGGGAGGCAGCAGUAGGGAAUCUUCCGCAAUGGACGAAAGUCUGACGGAGCAACGCCGCGUGAACGAAGAAGGCCUUCGGGUCGUAAAGUUCUGUUGUUAGGGAAGAACAAGUACCAGAGUAACUGCUGGUACCUUGACGGUACCUAACCAGAAAGCCACGGCUAACUA
rnacentral:rRNA from 1 species